rnacentral:sRNA from 1 species
AAAAGGACAGAGGCUGUUCCCCAUGGCAGAAGGCAACCACAGAAAAAAGCCACUUAAGAUGUUGGAAUCCCUGGGCAAAGAUUUCCUCACUGGUGUUUUGGAUAACUUGGUGGAACAAAAUGUACUGAACUGGAAGGAAGAGGAAAAAAAGAAAUAUUAUGAUGCUAAAACUGAAGACAAAGUUCGGGUCAUGGCAGACUCUAUCCAAGAGAAGCAACGUAUGGCAGGACAAAUGCUUCUUCAAACCUUUUUUAACAUAGACCAAAUAUCCCCCAAUAAAAAAGGUGAUAAAUUGGGUCACAGAGGCAGAAAUCACAAUUUAUCUUAUGCAAUAUCCUGCAGCUCAUCCGAAUAUGGAGGCUGGACCACCUGAGUCAGGAGAAUCUACAGAUGCCCUCAAGCUUUGUCCUCAUGAAGAAUUCCUGAGACUAUGUAAAGAAAGAGCUGAAGAGAUCUAUCCAAUAAAGGAGAGAAACAACCGUACACGCCUGGCUCUCAUCAUAUGCAAUACAGAGUUUGACCAUCUGCCUCCGAGGAAUGGAGCUGACUUUGACAUCACAGGGAUGAAGGAGCUACUUGAGGGUCUGGACUAUAGUGUAGAUGUAGAAGAGAAUCUGACAGCCAGGGAUAUGGAGUCAGCGCUGAGGGCAUUUGCUACCAGACCAGAGCACAAGUCCUCUGACAGCACGUUCUUGGUACUCAUGUCUCAUGGCAUCCUGGAGGGAAUCUGCGGAACUGUGCAUGAUGAGAAAAAACCAGAUGUGCUGCUUUAUGACACCAUCUUCCAGAUAUUCAACAACCGCAACUGCCUCAGUCUGAAGGACAAACCCAAGGUCAUCAUUGUCCAGGCCUGCAGAGGUGCAAACCAUGGGGAACUGUGGGUCAGAGACUCUCCAGCAUCCUUGGAAGUGGCCUCUUCACAGUCAUCUGAGAACCUGGAGGAAGAUGCUGUUUACAAGACCCACGUGGAGAAGGACUUCAUUGCUUUCUGCUCUUCAACGCCACACAACGUGUCCUGGAGAGACAGCACAAUGGGCUCUAUCUUCAUCACACAACUCAUCACGUGCUUCCAGAAAUAUUCUUGGUGCUGCCACCUAGAGGAAGUAUUUCGGAAGGUACAGCAAUCAUUUGAAACUCCAAGGGCCAAAGCUCAAAUGCCCACCAUAGAACGACUGUCCAUGACAAGAUAUUUCUACCUCUUUCCUGGCAAUUGA